rnacentral:rRNA from 1 species
GAGUAUCGGGUCAUAAAGUAGAUAUCGAGAAGAAGUCAGUGGAAUUACCGACAGAAGAAGCGACGGCUAAAUACGUGCCAGCAGCCGCGGUAAUACGUAUGUCGCAAGCGUUAUCCGGAUUUAUUGGGCAUAAAGCGCAUCUAGGCGGCAAGGAAAGUCUGAUGUGAAAAUGCGGAGCUCAACUCCGUAUGCGCGCUGGAAACUGCCUUGCUAGAGUGCUGGAGAGGUGGACGGAACUACACGAGUAGAGGUGAAAUUCGUAGAUAUGUGUAGGAAUGCCGAUGGGGAAGACAGCCUACUGGACAGAUACUGACGCUGAAGCGCGAAAGCCUGGGUAGCAAACAGGAUUAGAUACCCUGGUAGUCCAGGCCGUAAACGAUGAUUACUGGGUGUUGGGCAUGAAGAGUGUCCGUGCCGAAGCUAACGCGAUAAGUAAUCCGCCUGGGGAGUACGUCCGCAAGUAUGAAACUC